UUUCAGCAUUGUAAAAGGAGCACGAGGUCAAAGGGGGGCAAGUGCUGAGCGGCUGGAGGCUGAUGCCUGACGGGACACCAUGCACUAGGGACAAUCUCUGCUCGUUUUCCACCAGGUGCUACCUCAAACUAACGCCUACUCUGAGCCCGCAUUCGCUAGCUACAGCCGUGGCCAACCAUUGCCCACAAUGGCUUAGGCUGAUGCCUGAUGGGACACCAUGCUUAGACGAGGAGUGCACGCCGUGGAAGUAAUCUGUUCUACGGUUCCACCCUGAACAGCAGCGGGCUUCCGAGAUAUUCGCCUAUCGAGGUAAAUAUUGUUCUGCUUCUUCGAUGUUACUUGAUGCAUGCUAGGUGCUUGACAAAAUGACAGAGUGUGUAUAUCGUCAUACACGUAUUUAGUAUUAGCCAUUCAGUUGGUAGAUGCAGCUUCUUGGAACUGUUGAAAAUUGGCCUCCGGUGAAGAAUAACAGUGCGCUGAAUAUCUCAACUAUGUAUCAGGUCUUGAAUCCCUACAUGGUGAUCCUAUCCUGGUAAACAAGUACUUAAGAACAAUUUUUGGCCAAUGUUAACUUUUUUUGGCUCAUGGUUCAACAUGUUUCCAAAUCAGAUAUGGAAGACAAGUACUCCAGCCGCUGAUGAAAGUGGCCCAGAAGCACACAUAAUGACGGACGUGGUUUUGAUUUAUAGAGCAUUUGAGGAUCAAAUGAGAUGAAGAUUCAGUUCUCUAAUUUCUGUUUUGGUUCAGUUUUUUCAUCAUUUCUACUCAAGGUGGCGAAGGGUUUCCUUGUGAUCGGCGCGGCACCAAUCUUCUGGGUGUUAUGGAAGAUCAAGAAUAAAUCCUGCUUUAAAUGUGUUCGUCCUGGAGAUCCAACCACUGUAGUUUUUUAUGUUUGUCAGUUCUUAACAUCUUGGGCAACCUUUGCAGAAAGGGGCUCUUUAAGGACUGUUGCGACAGCGAUCCGGUAAGCUGGCGAUGGUGGUGUAGGAAGUGUAUGGGCGUCGACAUAGCUGGAACCAAUAAAUUGUCGUCCUCCUUUUUGUGCCCUCCUGUGUUAGCCUAUUUGGGAUUCUAUGUCCAAUUUCCUUUUUCUCUGUAUGAGAGUUGGCUGUAGUUCGUCAAUUACUGGUCGACGAUGCUGAUGCUCAUGUUACAAGGAUAUGAUGUAAGGAGUAGUUGUUUAUGCUUUUGUGUUCUGUUUGGGUGGCUUAUACCUGGCCCGUACGCUGGUGUGUGUGCAUGUGUAUACUGGAAUGAUUUCAGCAACGAUAUUGGGCAUGUAAGCUACUUUUAUUG